UACGAGUGGCGCAAACGUUGUUCGGAAUUACUGGGCUUAAAGAGUUCGUAGGCGGCCUGCUAAGUCGGGCGUGAAAGCCCUCGGCUUAACCGAGGAAUUGCGCUCUAAACUGUCGUGCUCGAGGAACCUAGAGGUGAGCAGAACAGAUGGUGGAGCGGUGAAAUGCGUUGAUAUCAUCUGGAAUACCGGAGGCGAAGGCGGCUCACUGGGGGUUUUCUGACGCUGAGGAACGAAAGCCAGGGUAGCGAACGGG
rnacentral:rRNA from 1 species